GAGAGGGCAUGAGAGGUUUUCUAAAUUUUUUUUAAAAGUGGGGAAGAAUGAGUUUUUUUUGGUAAAUUUUUUUAUUUAUAUAGCCUCACUAAACGCUGUCGUUUUGGGUCAAAGGUUUAGGCGCCAAAACGGCAUCGUUUUGGACUAAGUCGCACGCCCACCCGACCUGCUCCAGGGGAUCCACGUGUUUUCGACUUUUGGGUUAUUUACCCUUUUAGUCCUUCCGCAUUUUACUUGUUUGCAAUCGAGUUUUUUUAUCUUUUAAUUUUGCC
rnacentral:lncRNA from 1 species